UACGUAGGGUGCAAGCGUUGUCCGGAUUUACUGGGCGUAAAGAGCGCGCAGGCGGUCGUUCAAGUCGAGUGUGAAAGCCCCCGGCUCAACUGGGGAGGGUCACUCGAUACUGAUCGACUUGAAGGCAGGAGAGGGAAGCGGAAUUCCCGGUGUAGUGGUGAAAUGCGUAGAUAUCGGGAGGAACACCAGUGGCGAAGGCGGCUUCCUGGCCUGUUCUUGACGCUGAGGCGCGACAGCGUGGGGGAGCAAACAGG
rnacentral:rRNA from 1 species